rnacentral:rRNA from 1 species
GAUGAACGCUGGCGGCGUGCCUAAUACAUGCAAGUCGAGCGAACAGACGAGGAGCUUGCUCCUCUGACGUUAGCGGCGGACGGGUGAGUAACACGUGGAUAACCUACCUAUAAGACUGGGAUAACUUCGGGAAACCGGAGCUAAUACCGGAUAAUAUAUUGAACCGCAUGGUUCAAUAGUGAAAGACGGUUUUGCUGUAACUUAUAGAUGGCUCCGCGCCGCAUUAGCUAGUUGGUAAGGUAACGGCUUACCAAGGCAACGAUGCGUAGCCGACCUGAGAGGGUGAUCGGCCACACUGGAACUGAGACACGGUCCAGACUCCUACGGGAGGCAGCAGUAGGGAAUCUGCCGCAAUGGGCGAAAGCCUGACGGAGCAACGGCGCGUGAGUGAUGAGGGUCUUCGGAUCGUAAAACUCUGGUAUUAGGGAAGAACAAAUGUGUAAGUAACGAUGCACGUCUGGACGGUACCUAAUCAGAAAGCCACGGCUAACUACGU